rnacentral:rRNA from 1 species
GACGAACGCUGGCGGCGUGCUUAAAACAUGCAAGUCGAACGGACUUCUCAUGAAGCUUGCGAUUGAGAAGUUAGUGGCGGACGGGUGAGUAACGCGUGGGCAACCUGCCCCUGAGCCCGGGAUAACAGUUCGAAAGGACUGCUAAGACCGGAUAUACUUGCGGUGAAGCAUUUCACUGCAAGGAAAGGGAACGCUCAGGGAUGGGCCCGCGUCCCAUUAGCUAGUUGGUGAGGUAACGGCCCACCAAGGCGACGAUGGGUAGCCGACCUGAGAGGGUGAUCGGCCACAUUGGAACUGAGAGACGGUCCAAACUCCUACGGGAGGCAGCAGUGGGGAAUAUUGGGCAAUGGGCGAAAGCCUGACCCAGCAACGCCGCGUGAAGGAAGAAGGUCUUCGGAUCGUAAACUUCUAAUCCCCGGUGAAGAUAAUGACGGUAACCGGGAAGGAAGCCCCGGCUAACUACGUG